UACGUAGGGGGCAAGCGUUGUCCGGAUUUAUUGGGCGUAAAGAGCGUGUAGGCGGCCUGGUAGGUCAGUUGUGAAAACUCGAGGCUCAACCUCGAGACGCCGAUUGAAACCAUCAGGCUAGAGUCCGGAAGAGGAGAGUGGAAUUCCCGGUGUAGCGGUGAAAUGCGCAGAUAUCAGGAAGAACACCAAUGGCGAAAGCAGCUCUCUGGGACGGUACUGACGCUGAGACGCGAAAGCGCGGGGAGCGAACAGG
rnacentral:rRNA from 1 species